GUCCACCACAAACCACAGGAACAUCUAACUUAGAGGCCCUUGGAAGGAUUGAAACACAAACCCUGAACUUUGGUGUCCUCCAACAGGCAGUGGCUGUGGGCUACUAGGAACAUCCGUCUGACCCUUGGAAAGCCUGAAGGAGGUGCCUCCUUGCUCUCCAGCUUGGGCCUUGGCACUCGACUCUGUAGUCAGGGUCCCGGGUGUCCAGGAUAAGGAUGGCGUCAGAAUCAGCAACCCUAGAAGAGGAGCCCAAGAGGCCCUGGUCCCACCCUCCGAAGUAGUUUGACGCUCUGAGUUGGGCGCCGACAGCUGGUUUAGCUGAGACACAUCUCCAAACCGCGGGCUACAGCUGCCGCAGUGUGAACUGUCUCUGAGCCUCCUCUUGGGGCAGCCACGGCCUGACACUGUGGUUCCUAAUGGCUGACAGAUUAUCCUGUGUGCUUGGAGGAGUCACAGGAGGAUUAUAACUGUCUGCCCCAUCCUAUUACCCCUCCAGCUGCCUCUCCCUCUGGAGUCCCUCUCUAGUAUGUAAGAAUGUUAUCAGCACAGCUACAUUAAAAAAUUUGUAAAUGACAUUUUUCAAAGCUUGAGCAUGACUGGUGUGUGUGUGUGUGUGUGUGUGUGUGUGUGUGUGUGUGACUCUAAGCCAUGAAUAUAUCAAAGAUACCUCUGCUGCCUCCCUCGAUGGGUUUUUGGGGGCGCGAGAGAGGGUUGAAGGAAUGAAUGAAAGCCCUUUAGAGUCCUGUCCACCUCUUGGUCUUGGCCAUUGUGAGCAUUUUCUUUCUCAAAAUCGCCUAUCCCCGAUUCCCCAGCAUGAAGGGAAUGUGUGGUCCGAGAGCCUGCGCUAGGAAAGCACAUCUGGAGGCCAGCCCUUCCCCGGCAGCUUUGCCCAUUCUGCUACUGGCAGGGAGCACAGCUGGGCCAGCUGGCAGCAGUGCAUGCACCUCCUGUCCCACACACCCCACAUGCUGCUCUUCCUGCCCUUGCACCUCCCUCCUUAGCCCAUGCCUCCCUGUGCUGGAUGUGUCAGGAGUGUCCAAGUAGCAGAAGCCAUCUCUGGCUCAAGAGCACCAUUAGACCUGCCAGGUCUGGCUGAGCCUCAUGUGUAUUCGCUACAGCCUUCCCUCUGGAUGCCACUGUCUCCAGCAAAGGUUUCGGCCAAUUGAUUUCCAGGUUGGUCUCACUUGGGGAUUACAUCCGGCUGGGCUGCCAACCAGAGCCCUGACAGCUGGAGCAGGACUCUUGUCUACAAGGAGUGGGCCCACACCCCUCGAGGUUGAUGAUACCCUCUCUCCAUCCUCACACACAUCCCUGCAUCAUUAGAGCUGAACUCUUUAGGAAGGGCCUGGACCCUCCCAGAGUUGUAACCUGGGUCUCUCAGGAGGAAUGAGAUAGUGAAGCAGAUUGUCACCAUUUGGGAGCCAUUUUCCUCCCCAGAGACAAGGGAGUCCACUAGGAGUACUGUCAGUACUGUCCCAGGCCUCCCCCUGCCAUGCCAUGUUGCCUGUUGUCCUACAGCAUGACACAGCACUCUGAGUUUGAAGGCAGGGAUCUGUCUUCACUUACAACUGUGAGAUGUGAAAUCAGUUUGUACCUCCUCU
rnacentral:lncRNA from 10 species